rnacentral:rRNA from 1 species
GACGAACGCUGGCGGCGUGCUUAACACAUGCAAGUCGAACGGAAAGGCCCUGCUUUUGUGGGGUGCUCGAGUGGCGAACGGGUGAGUAACACGUGAGUAACCUGCCCUUGACUUUGGGAUAACUUCAGGAAACUGGGGCUAAUACCGGAUAGGAGCUCCUGCUGCAUGGUGGGGGUUGGAAAGUUUCGGCGGUUGGGGAUGGACUCGCGGCUUAUCAGCUUGUUGGUGGGGUAGUGGCUUACCAAGGCUUUGACGGGUAGCCGGCCUGAGAGGGUGACCGGCCACAUGGGGACUGAGAGACGGACCAGACUCCUACGGGAGGCAGCAGGGGGGAAUAUUGCACAAUGGGCGGAAGCCUGAUGCAGCAACGCCGCGUGCGGGAUGACGGCCUUCGGGUUGUAAACCGCUUUCGCCUGUGACGAAGCGUGAGUGACGGUAAUGGGUAAAGAAGCACCGGCUAACUACGUG